UACGUAGGGGGCUAGCGUUGUCCGGAAUCAUUGGGCGUAAAGCGCGUGUAGGCGGUCCGGUAAGUCCGCUGUGAAAGUCGGGGGCUCAACCCUCGAAUGCCGGUGGAUACUGUCGGGCUAGAGUGCGGAAGAGGCGAGUGGAAUUCCUGGUGUAGCGGUGAAAUGCGCAGAGAUCAGGAGGAACACCAAUUGCGAAGGCAGCUCGCUGGGACGUAACUGACGCUGAGACGCGAAGGCGUGGGGAGCAAACAGG
rnacentral:rRNA from 1 species